CCUCAGGUAAAUGCCUGUUAUUAAUACUAUUUGCUGCUACUCAAAAAUGUUUAACUUGGUUCUAUGCUCUUUUGCCUUUUGUUUCAUCCUUCUCACAGUGUAAAAGUGAACAAAUGCAUAUCAUUUAAAUUAUUAAAACCUUUGGCAUCCACCACAUAAGGAAUCAAUGUAAUAUGUUUUAUAACUACAGUAGAGUCUCACUUAUCCAACAUAAACAGGCCGGCAGAAUGUUGGAUAAGCGAAUACGUUGGAUAAUAAGGAGGCAUUAAGGAAAAGCCUAUUAAACAUCAAAUUAAGCACCAAAACAUCAUGUUUUACAACAAAUCAACAGAAAAAAGCAGUUCAAUACACAGUAACGUUGUGUAAUACAGUAGAGUCUCACUUAUCCAAGCUUUGCUUAUCCAAGCUUCUGGAUUAUCCAAGCCAUUUUUGUAGUCAAUGUUAUCAAUAUAUCGUGAUAUUUUGGUGCUAAAUUUGUAAAUACAGUAAUUACAACAUUAUUGCGUAUUGAACUACUUUUUCUGUCAAAUUUGUUGUAAAACAUGAUGUUUUGGUGCUUAAUUUGUAAAAUCAUAACCUAAUUUGAUGUUUAAUAGGUUUUUCCUUAAUCUCUCCUUAUUAUCCAAGAUAUUUGCUUAUCCAAGCUUCUGCCGGCCCGUUUAGCUUAGAUAAGUGAGACUCUACUGUAAUUACAGUAUUUACGAAUUCAGCACCAAUACAUCACAGUGUAUUGAAAACAUUGACUACAAAAAUAUUGACUACUAAAAAAUUGACCACAAAUAAAGAUAGAAUUGCAUAAAAUGAACUUACAGGAACAACAUUGUUGGAAGUUAAAUCCGUAAAAAUGUUCAGUCCUUGCUGCCUAGAGAAACAGCUGUGGAUCUGGGCAGGAGGCAGACUGUUGGAUAAUCCAGAACGUUGAAUAAGUGAAGGUUGGAUAAGCGAGACUCUACUGUACAUUUAAAGUGUAACUCCAACCGUGUGUGUGUGUGUUCAGAGGGUUUUUCUCUGAAUUCCUUCGCAGGUUUUGUUCAAAGGGGCUUUUUUGCUUUUGACCCCCGCAGAGGCUGAGAGAGUGUGCCUUGUCCAAGGUCGGCCAGGGAGCCUCUACCAGCUGUUAGAAUUGUGGAAGUUGAAGUCCAAAACACCUGGAGGGCCAAAAGUUGCCCAUGCCUGCUCUGUAAUAUAGAAAGUGUGUGUGUGUGUGUGUGUGUGUGUGUGUGUACAUACAUACAUACAUACAUACU
rnacentral:lncRNA from 1 species